GCUUGCCUGGAUCGUACGUGAGCGUCAUUCAGUUUCAAUUCUCAAUGAUAACAAUAAGGGAUCUCAAUAUAUAUCGUGGAUGACAUGCCCUGGCUAAGGGACGGCAGAAGCGGUGUUGAGGGGGCCCACCUGGAUGCCCAGGGAAUUUUGAAACCGAACCAGCGCCACGGCGAUUUGGGUAAGCC
rnacentral:other from 1 species